rnacentral:misc_RNA from 1 species
GAUGAAGAACGCAGCGAAAUGCGAUAAGUAGUGUGAAUUGCAGAAUUCAGUGAAUCAUCGAAUCUUUGAACGCACAUUGCGCCCCUUGGUAUCCCGAGGGGCAUGCCUGUUCGAGCGUCAUUUCACCACACAAGCCUGGCUUGGUGUUGGGCGACGUCCUCUUUGGGGACGCGCCUCGAAACGCUCGGCGGCGUGGCACCGGCUUUAAGCGUAGCAGAAUCUUUCGCUUUGGAAGUCGGGGCCCCGUCUGCCGGAAGACCUGCUCGCAAGGUUGACCUCGGAUCAGGCAGGGAUACCCGCUGAACUUAAGCAUAUCAAUAAGCGGAGGA